AUAAUAAUUAGUCUUUUAAUUAAAGGCUGGAAUGAAUGAUUGGACGAGAUAAAUUCUGUCUCAUUAAAAUUAAAAUUUAAAUUUAAUUUUUAAGUUAAAAAGCUUAAAUAAAAUUAUAGGACGAGAAGACCCUAUAGAACUUUAUAAUAUAUAAUUAAUAAAUCUUAAUUUAAUUUUAUUAAUUUAAAAUUAUUUUAUUGGGGUGAUAGGAAAAUUUAUAUAACUUUUUUAAGUUUAUUACAUAAAUUAAUGGGUUUUUGAUCCUAUUUUUUAGAUUAUUAGAUUAAGUUACCUUAGGGAUAACAGCGUUAUUUUUUUUUAGAGUUCAUAUUAAUAAAAAAGAUUGC
rnacentral:rRNA from 1 species